UACGUAGGGCGCAAGCGUUGUCCGGAAUAACUGGGCGUAAAGGGAGCGCAGGCGGCUUGGUAAGUCUAAAGUGAAAUCCCAGAGCUCAACUCUGGACGGGCUUUAGAUACUGCCUGGCUUGAGUACGUGAGAGGAGAUUGGAAUUCCAGGUGUAGCGGUGAAAUGCGUAGAUAUCUGGAGGAACACCGGUGGCGAAAGCGGAUCUCUGGCACGUUACUGACGCUGAGGCUCGAAAGCAUGGGGAGCAAACGGG
rnacentral:rRNA from 1 species